GACGAACGCUGGCGGCGUGCCUAAUACAUGCAAGUAGGACGCAGUUGCGAACGGGUGAGUAACGCGUAGGUAACUGCCUCUUAGAGGGGGAUAACUAUUGGAAACGAUAGCUAAUACCGCAUACUAGUAGAUGGACCUGCGUUGUAUUAGCUAGUAGGUAGGGUAAUGGCCUACCUAGGCCACGAUACAUAGCCGACGUGAGAGGCUGAUCGGCCAGACUGGACCUGAGACACGGCCGGGACUCAUAAGGGAGGAAGCAGUAGGGAAUCUUCGGAAAUGGGGGGAACACUAACGGGGCAACGCCGCGUGAGUGAAGAAGGUUUGCGAAACGUAAAGCUCUGUUGUUAAGGAAGCGGUACUUAACCAGAAAGGGACGGCUAACUACGUGACAGCAGCCGCGGUAAUUC
rnacentral:rRNA from 1 species